UCGCGAUGGAUGGGGGGGACGGCGGCGGCGGCCCGGGCCCCGGUGCGCUGGGGCUGGGGGGGAUCGAGUUCCUGCAGCACACGGCCGGCUCCCUGCUGUCCAGCUAUGGCUGGUACAUCCUCCUGGCCGCUGUCGCCGUCUAUGUCCUCUUCCAGAAGCUGUCCCAGCGCCUGGCGGUCCAGUGGAGCGGGCGGGCGGGAGCGGCUGACGCAGCGAUGGAUGCUGACGUGGUGGUGAGAAGGCAGGAAGCUCUGGCAGCAGCUCGCCUCAGGAUGCAGGAGGAGUUGAACGCACAAGCAGAAAGAUACAAAGAAAGACAGAGACAGCUUGAAGAGGAGAAGCGAAGGCAGAAGAUAGCGAUGUGGGAAAGCAUGCAAGAAGGAAAAAGCUAUAAAGGAAACCUGAAACUGAAUCAGCAGGAAGUAGAAUCUGGUGCCUCCACCUCAUCAGCAGUCCCGAGAUCUAAACCAACCAAAAGGCCCUUGCGAGAAGGUGGAGGAAACAAAAUGUGCCUUGCAGAUGAGGACUUUAAUCAGUGCAGAACCUAGCAGGAAGUUUCUGUGGUGCUUUUCACCAGGAAAACAGCAUUUCAGUUUGCUUGCUAUAACCCCCUGUCUGGAGAAGGAGGUGGAACUUGUUCCUGGAGACCAGGCCGGCGAGGCCCAUCAGCAGGUGGAUGAGGCUAACCUCCCUAGUGUCUCAUGUCACUAGCAGGCUUGAUCUUACCCACUGUCUAACUGCCUAUAGUUUGCUUGUCACAGUGACUCCUUUGGGGCUGGGUUUAGUGCAGGUGUUAACAUCAAAACAGAUUUACAUCAUUUCCAAAUAGUAAUGCAGAAACUGAUGUCACACAAGAAAAAUACCUGAUCCUCUUAGAGAGGAUGAAGAAAGAAACAGUUUUCCCUGUAGAGAGGAAGCAUUGUCUGCAGCCAGGGUGAGCUGCCUCUGUUGAAAGCUGGGUUCCGUGGCUGGAGAUCCAAAAAUCUGGCCUCAGGCAAAUGUAAUUAUCUACACUCUGUGAAAUGAGGAUAUUUACCACCCUCAGACAUGUUACCAGAUUUGCUCUGUUUGGCUAAAAGGUACUUUAGAGGGGAAGGAUGUUAUCAUUGGCAGAUACCUUGGAUUUUAGGUGGAGGGACUUUGAGGCAAAACAUGAACUGACAAACGCCACAGACUUGCACCAAAGACUAGUUAUUUACUGCAGAAGAGUCUCUGUGACGAGCUGCUUUCAAUGAUGUUUUCCUUAUAAAUGGUACACAAACCAGUGAGGAUUACUGAUGAUAGACAGCAGAUGGGGGGGGUUCUUGCUACCCUUUUUUUUUUUUAAUUAUUGUUUUAUUUCAACUGCUUUGUAAGAACAGAACUAUUAAUAUUAAAUAUAAUUGCAAACAAAUCAUAACU